GUUGGAAGGUGUGGUAACCUUCUUUGGCCGGGUUGCAAUACUGAUAGACCAGAAUACACAGGCAUUCCACAUGUUCAUUACUGCUCUUCUUCAGAUGUUGGAUCGAUCGGGAUUACUAUAUGGAGAGCUUGCUAGAUUUGUGUUGAGAUUGCUGGGAAUUAGAGCAAAGCCUAAAAAGGCAAAGCGUUGAUGUCGAUUAAGGCGUCGUUUAGCAACAUAGCAACUGUGUUGCUGGACUGGGAUGAUGUUCACAACGAUGAUUUCUUUGCUAAUUGGAGACCUGAAGAAUCUACAAUCCAUGGAUUUUCAAGGGAACAAAUUAACUGGUCAAAUUCCUGAUGAGAUUGGCACCUGUGUUUCUCUGAUGCUGGUGUAAAAUUUCAUCUUCUUUCUUCAUUGCAAUUUUAUUUACAUAUAUGUGGAUGUAUUAAUAUCUUCUUCUGUAACUACUGCUGCAACCUCUUCCUUACCUGCUAUUGCUGUUGCCACCAGCAAUGUUUUCAAAACCAGACCGAUGAGGGUAUCCCUAUUAAAAUUUAGCUUAUAUUUCAUUCGCAUUUCCCUCACCUUUUCCUUUUUCUUUCCCUUUCCCUUUCCAAAUCACUACCAAAAUCUAUAAUUAAACACAACCUAAAGGUCCUUUGAAUGUCUAAUUGGUCCUUUUGAGUACCACAGAGAGCCAUUUGGUAUGGAUACUGUCAAACAUGUGUAUUAUUUUAUUUUAUUUUAU